AUACGGAGGGUGCAAGCGUUAUUCGGAAUCACUGGGCGUAAAGGACGCGUAGGCGGGUUGGCAAGUCAGAUGUGAAAUCCUACAGCUUAACUGUAGAACUGCAUUUGAAACUGCUAACCUAGAGUAUGGGAGGGGGAGAUGGAAUUAGUGGUGUAGGGGUAAAAUCCGUAGAUAUCACUAGGAAUACCGAAAGCGAAGGCGAUCUCCUGGAACAUAACUAACGCUAAGGCGUGAAAGCGUGGGGAGCAAACAGGAUUAGAAACCCUAGUAGUCC
rnacentral:rRNA from 1 species